UAGGGAAUCUUCCACAAUGGGCGAAAGCCUGAUGGAGCAACGCCGCGUGAGUGAGGAAGGCUUUCGGGUCGUAAAGCUCUGUUGCCAGGGAAGAAUAAGGAUGAGAGUAACUGCUCAUUCGAUGACGGUACCUGAGAAGAAAGCCCCGGCUAACUACGUGCCAGCAGCCGCGGUAAUACGUAGGGGGCAAGCGUUGUCCGGAAUUAUUGGGCGUAAAGCGCGCGCAGGCGGUUCUUUAAGUCUGGUGUCUAAGUGCGGGGCUCAACCCCGUGAUGCACUGGAAACUGGAGAACUUGAGUGCAGAAGAGGAGAGCGGAAUUCCACGUGUAGCGGUGAAAUGCGUAGAGAUGUGGAGGAACACCAGUGGCGAAGGCGGCUCUCUGGACUGUAACUGACGCUGAGGCGCGAAAGCGUGGGGAGCAAACAGG
rnacentral:rRNA from 1 species